GGAAUCUUCCACAAUGGACGAAAGUCUGAUGGAGCAACGCCGCGUGAGUGAUGAAGGUUUUCGGAUCGUAAAACUCUGUUGUAAGGGAAGAACAAGUACGAGAGGCAAUGCUCGUACCUUGACGGUACCUUGCGAGAAAGCCACGGCUAACUACGUGCCAGCAGCCGCGGUAAUACGUAGGUGGCAAGCGUUGUCCGGAAUUAUUGGGCGUAAAGCGCGCGCAGGCGGCCUUUUAAGUCUGAUGUGAAAGCCCCCGGCUCAACCGGGGAGGGUCAUUGGAAACUGGAAGGCUUGAGUACAGAAGAGAAGAGUGGAAUUCCAUGUGUAGCGGUGAAAUGCGUAGAGAUGUGGAGGAACACCAGUGGCGAAGGCGACUCUUUGGUCUGUAACUGACGCUGAGGCGCGAAAGCGUGGGGAGCAAACAGGAUUAGAUACCCCUG
rnacentral:rRNA from 1 species